UUUCUGAUCCCGUUUCUGACCUGAAAUUAGCAGAAAUGUACCUGAAAUUACCUGAAAUUAGAGUGUGCCCGCCCGAGCGAGUGAUGCCUAAAACAUGCAAACAAAACUGAAGACCAGGAACUGGAACCUGGGAACCUGAAAGAUGAUGUUGUCCUGAAAGACACAAUUCAGGCAGCAGCAUGGUGCCAGUUACAGUCCUUCAAGGACAGCGUUUCUCUCCCAGAGGUCAUUGGGAUGGAAGGUUGGGAGCAGAUGGCAGCAUCAACACAGCGCAAAUCCCAUGACGGCGGGGAUGAGGAAGAAUCGUGGAAACCAUUCCAAUUCUCAUUCAGAUUACAUACUGAUAUUAACUGUUCUGUGUGGAGAUGAUGGACAGGAGAAACCUGAAGGUGUUUGCCUCUUUU
ensembl:lncRNA